AGCGAACGUUUGCGGCGGGCUUAACACAUGCAAGUCGAACGAGAAUCCCUUCGGGGAGGAAAGUGGCGCACGGGUGCGUAACACGUGGAUAACCAACCCAUUGGUUUGGGACAACACCGGGAAACUGGUGCUAAUACCAGAUGUGUCGCAGCUGUCUUCAGGCGGUUGCGAGAAAGGCCCGCAAGGGUCGCCAACGGACGGGUCCGCGUCCCAUCAGCUAGUUGGUGAGGUAAUGGCUCACCAAGGCAAAGACGGGUAGCUGGUCUGAGAGGAUGAUCAGCCACACUGGAACUGAGACACGGUCCAGACUCCUACGGGAGGCAGCAGUGGGGAAUAUUGGACAAUGGGGGCGAACCCUGAUCCAGCCAUGCCGCGUGUGUGAAGAAGGCCUCGG
rnacentral:rRNA from 1 species